AAAAAAGGCUUCUGUCAUGAUUGGUACAUGUAGGGCAACUCUCUUCCUUAUGCAAAAUCCACAUCAAGAGAUUUUGGAAGCAUAAUAUUUUGGUAGGUGAGCAGCUGGUGAUUGUUGAUUAAAAAUUUUAUGCUUAU
rnacentral:snRNA from 17 species